UUAACAUCUUAGAACGUUCUACUUAUCCAGGCAUCAAAGCCGAAUCUAUCAAAGGUGGCCCACAACCUCGUGGAGGCCCGACUCAAAGCAUCAGGAUCAUCCUAUUCGGGGUAGAUAGAGGUCACAUGCACAUCCAUUCAAUCUUUGACAUCCUUGUGCCUCCAUCCAAGAAGAAACUGAGAAGGCUCUCGGUGAGUUGAGCAGUUAUCAGAAGACACUGGAAGGAGAUCACCUCCAAUGGGGUUCCUGGCAACUGGGAAUAAAUCCAGGCUGCCAACCCAAAUGUGUGUGAACAGCCAGUCAUCACUCUUGUCUUGCUGUGCAGCUUCAAGAAGAUGAAUUGAGCCAAGUUGUCUGGUGCUCCUGUCACCCAGGUGAUUCCCCAGAGUCCCAUUCUGCUCUCUGCUCUCAAACUUCCCUAAAUCAACUGCAACAAAUGCAAGGUCUUUCUGUGGGUUCGUUUUCAUUAGAAGAAGGAAGAAGAGAGGGAGGAAGAGGAGGAGGAAAAGCCUGCCCAGGGCGUGUUCGGUGCUCUUUUUAAAGGAAGCGGAGAGCAUGCCCACUCAAGUGCUGUUGCAGGAUCUGGUUCCUCACAGGUUGGUGGACGGAGGGCCUCACUUCCUCGCUAGCUGCUGGCUGGGGCCUCCUUCAGUUCCUUGCCACGUGGACCUCUCCACAGGGCAGCUCACGCAUGGCAGCAGGCUUCCAUCAGGAGCAUGGGGCUGAAUGUGCUGCAAGCAAUAAACACGUAUUUGUUGAAUGAAUGGGCGGUAGAAUGAAUAAAUAUGAAUGAUGUGUGUGGACCAGAAUAUGGCUAAAGAUGUGGCACUCUUAAGAUAAUUAGUACCUUAAAUUACAAGACUUCUUCCUUACUCUCAGUAUGUUAUAUUUAAGACACAAUUUUUAUAGGAAAAACAGAAAGAAAUGGAUCGACUUAUUACCCUGCUUUUAAUGCACCAUUAAAUAGGUGCAUUAGGACCAUUUGGGUCCUAUUUAUAGUGUGUUCUCUGUAGCAGGGUGGAAAUGGGGUGGUUUUACUUUCCAGUGCGUAGGGACACGCUCUGAGAAGUGGAUAUCACGAUUCAUCAAAACAGAAGUGACACCAAGUUCAGUCUUCGAAUCACCUUCUCUCAUUCAUCUUAACAAAGAGUUUACAUUUCAUGCUGGAUCCUGAAACAAAAGUUUGCACAGGGGUCACCUGUCCCUCCGCCCAAGUGUGUUUCCUUCCAGAAGUGGGCAGGUU